ACGGGAGGCAGCAGUGGGGGAUAUUGCACAAUGGGCGCAAGCCUGAUGCAGCGACGCCGCGUGAGUGAAGAAGUAUUUCGGUAUGUAAAGCUCUAUCAGCAGGGAAGAAAAUGACGGUACCUGUGAAGGAAGCUCCGGCUAACUACGUGCCAGCAGCCGCGGUAAUACGUAGGGAGCAAGCGUUAUCCGGAAUUACUGGGUGUAAAGGGAGUGUAGGCGGGACUGUAAGUCAGAUGUGAAAUAUGCCGGCUCAACUGGGAGACUGCAUUUGAAACUGCGGUUCUUGAGUGAAGUAGAGGUAAGCGGAAUUCCUAGUGUAGCGGUGAAAUGCGUAGAUAUUCGGAGGAACACCAGUGGCGAAGGCGGCCUACUGGGCUUUAACUGACGCUGAGGCUCGAAAGUGUGGGGAGCAAACAGGAUUAGAUACCCUGGUA
rnacentral:rRNA from 1 species